UACAGGGGGGGCAAGCGUUGUUCGGAAUUACUGGGCGUAAAGGGCCAGUAGGCGGCCAACUAAGUCCGACGUGAAAUCCCCGAGCUCAACUCGGGAACUGCGUCCGAUACUGGUGGGCUUGAAUCCGGGAGAGGGAUGCGGAAUUCCAGGUGUAGCGGUGAAAUGCGCAGAUAUCGGGAGGAACACCGGUGGCGAAGGCGGUUCUCUGGGCCUGACCUGACGCUGAGGAGCGAAAGCGUGGGGAGCGAACAGG
rnacentral:rRNA from 1 species